rnacentral:rRNA from 1 species
GUCUAAGGCAUGCAAGUUGAAUGCUAGUAGCAAUACUAACAUGGCAAACGGGAGAGUAACACAUUGGUAACUUACCCCAAAGACGAGGAUAAUCUUGCGAAAGCGAGAAUAAUACUCGAUAGUAUUAAAGAACUUAAGUUCUUUAAUUAAAGCUCCGGCGCUUUGGGAGAGGCCUAUGGCCUAUCAGCUAGUUGGUAAGAUAAUAGCUUACCAAGGCUAUAACGGGUAUGGGGCGCGAGAGCGUGAUCCCACUCACUGGGACUGAGACACUGCCCAGACUCCUACGGGAGGCUGCAGUCAAGAAUCUUCCUCAAUGGGCGAAAGCCUGAAGGAGCGACGCCGCGUGUAUGAAGAAGCCCUUCGGGGUGUAAAAUACUUUUAACUGUGACGAAACAAUGACGGUAGCAGUUGAAUAAGGGGCUGCUAACCUCGUGCCAGCAGCAGCGGUAAUACGAGGGCCCCAAGCGUUAUCCGGAUUUAUUGGGCGUAAAGGGUCCGCAGGCGGUCUAGCGCAUCUUUCGUUAAAUCCUUCGGCUUAACCGAAGAACCGCGAAAGAGAUGGCUAGACUAGAGGCCGGGAAAGGCAAGCGGAAUUGCUGGUGUAGGGGUUAAAUCCGUUAAUAUCAGCAGGAACACCAAAUGCGAAGGCAGCUUGCUUGAACGUGCCUGACGCUCAUGGACGAAAGCGUGGGGAGCGAACGGGAUUAGAUACCCCGGUAGUCCACGCCGUAAACGAUGUACACUAGAUAUUGGGAGUUUCGACCCUCUCAGUGUCCUAGCUAACGCGAUAAGUGUACCGCCUGGGAAGUACGAGCGCAAGCUUAAAACUCAAAGGAAUAGACGGGGAUCCGCACAAGCGGUGGAGCAUGUGGUUUAAUUCGACAAUAAGCGAGGAACCUCACCAGGGCUAGAUACUUAGCUGCAUCUUUCUAGAGAUAGAAAGAGCCUUCGAGGGUGCUAAGCAGGUGCUGCAUGGUUGUCGUCAGCUCGUGCCGUAAGGUGUUCCAUUAAGUUGGGUAACGAGCGCAACCCCUACUGUGUGUUACAAGUGUCACACGGAACUGCCCAGCACAGAGCGCACUUCGUGCCUCGUGCUUGAAUUUAAAAUUUAAAAUUUAAAAUUAAAAUUGAAUCUAAAAUGACAAAAUGAUUGAAUGUUAAAACAUAACAAGAAUAGUUCGUUAUUUAAAACAUUGAAAAUUAAAACAUUUAAAAUUGAUUGAAAAUUGAAAAUUGAAAAUUGAAAAUUUGAGAACGAUGCGAAGCGAA